rnacentral:rRNA from 1 species
UUGGAGGGCAAGUCUGGUGCCAGCAGCCGCGGUAAUUCCAGCUCCAAUAGCGUAUAUUAAAGUUGUUGCAGUUAAAAAGCUCGUAGUUGAAUUUCGGGAUCAAUGGAUUGGUCAUGCCGUUGGUAUGUACUGAUUUUAUUGAUUCUCACCUUCUAAAGAAUCAUAAUGCCAUUAAUUUGGUGUUGUGAGGAAUUAGGACUGUUACCUUGAAAAAAUUAGAGUGUUUAAAGCAGGCUUACGCUUGAAUACAUUAGCAUGGAAUAACGAAAUAGGACAUCGCAUUCUAUUUUGUUGGUUUCUAGGAUCGAUGUAAUGAUUAAUAGGGAUAGUUGGGGGCAUUGGUAUUCAAUUGUCAGAGGUGAAAUUCUUGGAUUUAUUGAAGACUAACUACUGCGAAAGCAUUUGCCAAGGAUGUUUUCAUUAAUCAAGAACGAAAGUUAGGGGAUCGAAGACGAUCAGAUACCGUCGUAGUCUUAACCAUAAACUAUGCCGACUAGGGAUCGGAUGAUGUUAAUUUUUUAAUGACUCAUUCGGCACCUUACGGGAAAC